rnacentral:rRNA from 1 species
AAACUUAAAGGAAUUGACGGAAAGGCACCACCAGGCGUGGAGCUUGCGGCUCAAUUUGACUCAACACGGGAAAUCUCACCAGACCCGAACAUCUCUAACGAUUGACAGAUUGAAAGCUCUUUCUUAAUGAAGUGGAUGGUGGUGCAUGGCCGUUCUUAGUUGGUGGAGCGAUUUGUCUGGUUAAUUCCGAUAACGAACGAGACUCUGGCCUACUAACUAGUCGUCGGGUUGUCUUGUACCGGCUUCGGUCGGUCGCCCGUCGCAACUUCUUCUUAGAGGGAUCCGCGUCAUCUAGACGCAAGAGACUGAGCAAUAACAGGUCUGUGAUGCCCUUAG